AUACGGAGGAUGCGAGCGUUAUCCGGAUUUAUUGGGUUUAAAGGGUGCGUAGGCUGUGCGUUAAGUCAGGGGUGAAAUGCCGUCGCUCAACGACGGAAUUGCCCUUGAUACUGGCGUGCUGGAGUACGGAUGCCGUUGGAGGAAUGAGUGGUGUAGCGGUGAAAUGCUUAGAUAUCACUCAGAACACCGAUUGCGAAGGCAUCUGACGAAUCCGUCACUGACGCUGAGGCACGAAAGCGUGGGGAUAGAACAGGAUUAGAUACCCUGGUAUUCCACGCCGUAAACGAUGAUGACUAACCGUCGGCGAUAGACAGCCGGUGGCCAAGCGAAAGCGAUAAGUCAUCCACCUGGGGAGUACGUCGGCAACGAUGAAACUCAAAUGAAUUGACGGGG
rnacentral:rRNA from 1 species